UGUCAGUCGAACGAUGAAGACCAGCUUGCUUCUCUGUGAGAGCGGCGAACGGGUGAGUAACGCCUGAGUAUCCUGCCGCGGACUCUGGAAUACGCGCUGGAAACGGCGCCUAUACCUGAAUAUGACCCAUACCGGCAUCGGGUGAGCUUGGAAACAUUUAUCGUCUCAUGAUGCUAUCGCGGACUAUCUACUGGAUGAGGAGGUGACUCAUCACCGUGACGACCACGGACUGCCCUGCUGAGAUGAUGACCGGCCUGCUGCUGAUGACACACGGCCACUCCUCCUACAGGAGGCAGCGGUGAAUAAUGUUGCAUGAUGGACGAACUGCUGAUGCCAUGCCGCCGGGGGAAGGAUGACCUUCUUAUUGUUGUAAACCUCUUUUAGUAAGGAAGAAGCGAAAAUGACUACUCCUGCAUUUUGACCUUCGCGUAACUACAUGCCACCACCCGCUCUGAGACAUAAGGCGCGAGCGUAGUCAGGAAUUAUUGGUUGUUCAGAGUUCCUGGGCGGCUUGUCCCGUCUGCCGUGAAAACCCAGGGCUCAACCCUGCCCGUGCGCUCGACCUGGGAACUGCUUUAGUGCCUGACUGAAUAUUGUAAUUCCUGGUGUAGCGGUGUAUUGCGUGUAUAUCAGGAGGAACACCGAUGGCGAAGGAAGAUCUCUGGGCCGUGCUGACGCUGAGGAGCGAAUGCAUGUGGAGCGAACAAGAUUAGAUACGCUGAUAGUCCAUGAUCGUAAACGUUUCCACUAGAUGUAGGAUGCUGUUCAACGGGUUCUGUGUCUUGAGCUAACGCAUGAAGCUCCUCACCCUGUGAGUACGGCCGCAAGGCUAAAACUCAAAGGAAUUGACGGGGGCCCGCACAAGCGGCGGAGCAUGCGGAUUAAUUCGAAGCAACGCGAAGAACCUUACCAAGCCUUGACAUAUAGGAGAACGGGCCAGAAAUGGUCAAUUCUUUGGGCAACUCUAUACCGGUGGUGCAUGGUUGUUGUCAGCUUGUGUUGUGAGAUGUUCGGUUAAGUUCGGCAACGAGCGCAACCCUCGUCCUAUGUUUCCAGCCGGUUAAUGCGGGACCUCAUAGGGAGCCUCCGGGGUCCACACGGAGGAAGGUGGGGGAGGCGUCCAAUUCUCCAUGCCCUUAUGUCCUGGGCUUCCACCAUGCUACCAAUGGUGGGCAAAGGGGUGCGCAACCGUAAAGGUGGAGCUUCCCAAAAAACCCUCUCAGUUCGGAUUGGGCUGUGCAACUCGACCCCAUGAAGUCGGAGUAUCUAGUAAUCGCAGAUCAGCAACGUUGCGGGAAUAGUUCCCGGGCCUUGACACACCGCCCGUCAAGUCCAGAGAGAGUUGGGUAUGCACCCAGAAGCUAGCUGAGCUCUAACCUUAAGGAGGGGACCGU
rnacentral:rRNA from 1 species